GACGAACGCUGGCGGCGUGCUUAAUACAUGCAAGUCAACUGAACUUGAGGUAGCAAUAUCACAAGAGAGGUGGCGCACGGGUGAGUAACACGUAGGUAAUCUGCCUUUAGGUCUGACAUAAUUCCGCGAAAGCGGGACUAAUAUCAGAUGAUGCAGCGGCUCGACAUCGAGACAGUUGUUAAACCUUCGGGGCCUAAAGAUGAGCCUGCGUCUGAUUAGGUAGUUGGCGGAGUAAAAGCCCACCAAGCCUGCGAUCAGCAGCUGGUCUGAGAGGAUAAUCAGCCACACUGGAACUGAGACACGGUCCAGACUCCUACGGGAGGCAGCAGUAAGGAAUAUUGCUCAAUGGCCGAAAGGCUGAAGCAGCAACGCCGCGUGGAGGAUGAAAUACUUCUGUAUGUAAACUCCUGUAAG
rnacentral:rRNA from 1 species